GGGAGCCCUGCGAAGUUCUGUGGGGGACGUUGCCAUCCUGCUCCGCCAUCGCCAAUUUUUUUUUAUUUUCUUUGAUCUAGAAAUUAUGGAUGACACUUCUAAAAUGUAAACUAAAUCAUUCAUACACAGUUUGACAGGAACAAAUAUGUUGUUAGUGGAUUCUGCCCAAUCACACCAAAGUAACAUAAUUAUCCAAGGUUUAAUUCUCCAUAAAACAGAUAGCCAAAACAAACUAAAAUUUUGUGCUGAGAUGACCAAACAUAUCAAAUGGUAUGCACAAUUGAAACAAAAUGUUAUUGAACACUUACUGGUUGACAUGAACUGACUUGGGAGCAUAUAAGCAUUAUAACGGAGAAACCAAGAGACAAACAAAGUUGACAGAGACUCAUUCAAGUGGGACGCUAAUAUCAAGCAACAACUUGUUCUAUAUGAAAUUGGAGAACGGGAGGGUACAGGGUGUGGUAUUUAUGUAGCCUGAGUUUGUGCACAUAGAUAUUGAAUUAGAAAGAUCAUUAAUCACAGAUCCAGAAAUACAAACACGAAAUAGCUGAAAGGUGGAAAAGUAGUAAAUAUGUAGUAUAAACAAUUAAGGAGACAGAAAUAGAGUGAGGGCGUGGCAGUGGAAUCACCAGAUCGGCAAGGCGCUCACGUACAGACGUACAGGGCACCGC
rnacentral:lncRNA from 1 species